ACAUGCAAGUCGAACGAGAUCUUCGGAUCUAGUGGCGCACGGGUGAGUAACGCGUGGGAACCUACCUUUUAGUAUGGGAUAACGUUUGGAAACGAACGCUAAUACCGUAUACGCCCUCCGGGGGAAAGGUCAGCCGCUGAAAGAGGGGCCCGCGUCUGAUUAGCUUGUUGGUAGGGUAAUGGCCUACCAAGGCUACGAUCAGUAGCUGGUCUGAGAGGAUGAUCAGCCACACUGGGACUGAGACACGGCCCAGACUCCUACGGGAGGCAGCAGUGGGGAAUAUUGGACAAUGGAGGCAACUCUGAUCCAGCAAUGCCGCGUGUGUGAUGAAGGCCCUAGGGUUGUAAAGCACUUUCAACGGUGAAGAUGAUGACGGUAGCCGUAGAAGAAGCCCCG
rnacentral:rRNA from 1 species